rnacentral:rRNA from 1 species
GUGAGGAAUAUUGGACAAUGGGCGCAAGCCUGAUCCAGCCAUGCCGCGUGCAGGAAGACGCAUCUAUGGUGUGUAAACUGCUUUUGUACGGGAAGAAACACUCCCUCGUGAGGGAGCUUGACGGUACCGUAAGAAUAAGGAUCGGCUAACUCCGUGCCAGCAGCCGCGGUAAUACGGAGGAUCCAAGCGUUAUCCGGAAUCAUUGGGUUUAAAGGGUCCGUAGGCGGUUUAAUAAGUCAGUGGUGAAAGCCCAUCGCUCAACGAUGGAACGGCCAUUGAUACUGUUAGACUUGAAUUACAAGGAAGUAACUAGAAUAUGUAGUGUAGCGGUGAAAUGCUUAGAUAUUAGGAGGAACACCAGUGGCGAAGGCGGCUUACUGGACGAUAACUGACGCUGAGGCUCGAAAGCGUGGGGAGCAAACAGGAUUAGAAACCCCAGUAGUCC